rnacentral:tRNA from 1 species
GGCUUGUUGGUCUAGUGGUAUGAUUCUCGCUUUGGGUGCGAGAGGUCCAGGGUUCAAAUCCUGGAUGAGCCU